UCCAUCUCUGGUGGGCUGCGAGCUACUGCUCUGACUUGAAUUGCCUGUGGAAUUGCUGCUAGAUGAAGAGCCCCCCCCACUAUCCACCUCUUCAACGUUACCUCUCUCAUGGUCUUUUGACAUCUUUUGAGAUGACAAAGAUGAUGAUGUGAUAAGCUUACUUGGAACAAAAUCAUAUACGACACAAACCAAAUCUUUCCUUGUCUGUGUUAAGUGGCUUUGGAGCCCUGCAAGACCUUAGGACUCUUUAUUGAAUGCUACAGUGGUCUCUGAAGAUCAACUUUUGCAUGAGGUCCCCCCCAAAUGUUCCUCAGUUGGCUGUGUGUCCCAAGGUACGAGGUGGUUAAAGGGGAAACAUACAUUGGAUAUCCCAGUGGCUG